GUCACAUCAACACCUUCCUGCUUGCAACUCUGUACAGCUGCAGUGUGCGGAUGCACCUGAAGUUCCUUAAUCUAGACGUCUCAGGGUCCAGAGAUAUUAAACUGAGAGAUGCGCUUCAUGUUUGCGCUCCAAUUCGCUCCACAAGUAUUGGCUUGUCGUGCAAAAAUGUUCGCUCUCUUUCAUCAAAGUACUAGGCAUCGUGAUCCCUUUCCUCUUCUGUAUCGCUCAGUACGUCGGCUGGAUCGUCGUUUCUUCUCAAGGUGAGACCAAGAUCACGGAAGUUGAAUACAACUUUCGAGAUGUAUAUCACGCACGCACAUAGCAACACGAAAACUAGAAUACGCUCUGCAUUCUCUCCUAUAUUGGGCUCAAUCGAGUCCCCCAUGCCUCCAGCCCUGCUGAAAAGGUGAGAUCGGUUACCAGCGUAAUCUGCGGGAGAAAGAUGUUGAACUGCAUCAAUAUACAAUGCUCACCGUGCACAAGCUGGGUCGAAAAUGCUGCCCGCACGAUCUGCCCAGAAUGAAGAUCCUGGGCAGGAUUUCAUGAAUUCAGAACCCAUUUCAGAAGCUUUCAAAUCGCAGACCACUUUGCAUAGUGUCAAACCUUCCUGCAUCCCCAAUUUACUCAAUCAGCGCAAGCACUGGAGGAUGUUUGACAAUUGAGCGUGCAAAGCUUGAGGGGUCAUGGUUGAAACAGAGUCCUGCCCCUGCGGGCUUUGUGGCCAAGACGUUAAUCCAGGGAAGGAUUCCCAUAUCCGGAGCACAUGUACCUCGGAAGAAUGCGGCAGCUCUAUAUGGCAUUGGGAGUAAGUGCCAUUGCUCUCCCAAUGUUGGUUAGGGUCUUGAGCACCUCUUCUGACUGGACCAGACAUUGCUUGCAAUGUCACUCUUUUGCUGGUCUCAAUUGCGUUGCGUCGACGUUCGCGGUAUCAGGUAUCUGCAUGUCAUCUUGUUCACAGUACCUCCGGUUAUAUUUUGUCCGACGCAGAACGACUGCUGUGUAGGUGUAUCAAAGAAUAUCUGGAGAGCGGACAGGCCGAUAAGAAGGGUUGCUGCAACAGUAAGAAGUUAUUGGUGAUGAAGGUGUAAAUUCUUAUUUCCUUACAACGGGGAGAGACCCAAACAUCCUGUUUGGAAGACUUUAACUGUGUUGUAAGGAAGAUCAGAGUGAAACACUUCUCCACAAACACCCCGCGUCAGCUCUGCUGUUUUGCGCAGGUCGAUAUCCAGAAAAGGCCGUGGGAACACUUGAAGGGUCGCAACUGCCCUGUUGGCAGAGGUAAAUUUGCAGAGGCGCAAGAGGCUGAGCAGUGUCCU
rnacentral:lncRNA from 1 species